CCCAUGGCCCCAUGUAGCUGUGUCACUGGCACCCCCGUGGCUACCCUGUGCUUACCAAAUAAAACAAUUAUGUAUUUAUUACGAUUUUAUAUGAGAACGUCAAAAGCAGAACUAAUGCAACCACGUUCAAACACUGCAGCCUGCUGCCACUGGUGUGUGGCGCUGGCGCUGCUCAGUGAAUGAUAGAUCAGACCAGAGAGAAGAAGACAAACGAAGAAGAUGGAGUUGUGAUUUCUCAGUUCCGAAUGGCGGCCAUAUUGGAAUUUUCUUUACUGUCGCUAGUUUCACACUACUUGAUUUCUCAUGUUGCAGUAAGCUAAACGAUUUCAUCUCUUACGUGACUUGUUGUUCUUGCACGUAACUGUGUAACCGUCUGACUGAUAAAGAAGUUGUUAAAUGUCUUUACGUUUAGAAACAUAAUCAAGCAAACUCAUCCAAGCAGAUGCGAAUAGCCUACAAUGUCAGUACUCAAACCACCAGUAGCAGGCUUAGGACUAGAGUUUGCCAGUCAGACCACUACACCUUUGCCAGCACCACCACCCAGCAAGCUUCAUCAACUCCAGCCAUGCCGAGUUUACCAAUCAGACCUACACCUCUGUCAAAUUCGCUCACAACGCUGCCAGUAACACCCCAGCAAGGUAGAACUGCAUUUUCAUUAAUCUGGCACCAAUAUCAAGGGAGAAACAAGCCAUGAAUGUCUGUCACAACUUCUUUGCAUCUUUACUUUCCUUACAUCUGA